rnacentral:rRNA from 1 species
GACGAACGCUGGCGGCGUGCCUAAUACAUGCAAGUCGAGCGGACAGAUGGGAGCUUGCUCCCUGAUGUUAGCGGCGGACGGGUGAGUAACACGUGGGUAACCUGCCUGUAAGACUGGGAUAACUCCGGGAAACCGGGGCUAAUACCGGAUGGUUGUUUGAACCGCAUGGUUCAGACAUAAAAGGUGGCUUCGGCUACCACUUACAGAUGGACCCGCGGCGCAUUAGCUAGUUGGUGAGGUAACGGCUCACCAAGGCGACGAUGCGUAGCCGACCUGAGAGGGUGAUCGGCCACACUGGGACUGAGACACGGCCCAGACUCCUACGGGAGGCAGCAGUAGGGAAUCUUCCGCAAUGGACGAAAGUCUGACGGAGCAACGCCGCGUGAGUGAUGAAGGUUUUCGGAUCGUAAAGCUCUGUUGUUAGGGAAGAACAAGUGCCGUUCAAAUAGGGCGGCACCUUGACGGUACCUAACCAGAAAGCCACGGCUAACUACGUGCCAGCAGCCGCGGUAAUACGUAGGUGGCAAGCGUUGUCCGGAAUUAUUGGGCGUAAAGCGCGCGCAGGCGGUCUUUUAAGUCUGAUGUGAAAGCCCACGGCUCAACCGUGGAGGGUCAUUGGAAACUGGAGGACUUGAGUGCAGAAGAGGAGAGUGGAAUUCCACGUGUAGCGGUGAAAUGCGUAGAGAUGUGGAGGAACACCAGUGGCGAAGGCGACUCUCUGGUCUGUAACUGACGCUGAGGAGCGAAAGCGUGGGGAGCGAACAGGAUUAGAUACCCUGGUAGUCCACGCCGUAAACGAUGAGUGCUAAGUGUUAGGGGGUUUCCGCCCCUUAGUGCUGCAGCUAACGCAUUAAGCACUCCGCCUGGGGAGUACGGUCGCAAGACUGAAACUCAAAGGAAUUGACGGGGGCCCGCACAAGCGGUGGAGCAUGUGG